rnacentral:sRNA from 1 species
UUGUGUUUUACCUGGAGUUGUUUAGCUAGGAAAUGGCUGGAACUUGAAUUGUGCCACUAUUGAGUCUAUUGCCUUUCGGAGAAUGGACAGAAAAAUAUUAUGUAGCAUUGACUGACUUUGUCGUGAAUCAAGUCACCUGAUUACUAUGAUGUCUAAAAAAGUGUGUUACAUAGGACUUCUCUUACUGGUUGUAACUGUGAUGUGGUGUGAAGGUGAACAAAAUUAUGGUGUUUCAAAAGAGUACAACCUUUGUAA